ACGAACGCUGGCGGCGUGCUUAACACAUGCACGUCGAACGGAAAGGCCCUGCUUUUGUGGGGUGCUCGAGUGGCGAACGGGUGAGUAACACGUGAGUAACCUGCCCUUGACUUUGGGAUAACUUCAGGAAACUGGGGCUAAUACCGGAUAGGAGCUCCUGCUGCAUGGUGGGGGUUGGAAAGUUUCGGCGGUUGGGGAUGGACUCGCGGCUUACCAGCUUGUUGGUGGGGUAGUGGCUUACCAAGGCUUUGACGGGUAGCCGGCCUGAGAGGGUGACCGGCCACAUUGGGACUGAGAUACGGCCCAGACUCCUACGGGAGGCAGCAGUGGGGAAUAUUGCACAAUGGGCGGAAGCCUGAUGCAGCAACGCCGCGUGCGGGAUGACGGCCUUCGGGUUGUAAACCGCUUUCGCCUGUGACGAAGCGUGAGUGACGGUAAUGGGUAAAGAAGCACCGGCUAACUACGUG
rnacentral:rRNA from 1 species